rnacentral:rRNA from 1 species
UACGGGGGGGGCAAGCGUUGUUCGGAAUUACUGGGCGUAAAGGGCUCGUAGGCGGCCAACUAAGUCAGACGUGAAAUCCCUCGGCUUAACCGGGGAACUGCGUCUGAUACUGGAUGGCUUGAGUUUGGGAGAGGGAUGCGGAAUUCCAGGUGUAGCGGUGAAAUGCGUAGAUAUCUGGAGGAACACCGAUGGCGAAGGCAGGUCACUGGGCCGCAACCGACGCUGAGGAGCGAAAGCGUGGGGAGCGAACAGG